rnacentral:rRNA from 1 species
GACAGAGGUGCCGAGCGUUUAGGCGGAAUCACUGGGCUUAAAGCGUGUGUAGGCGGGCCGUUAAGUGUCUUGUGAAAUCCCCCGGCUCAACCGGGGAAUUGCUGGGCAUACUGGCGGUCUUGAGCGAUCUAGGGGCAGAUGGAACAAGUGGUGGAGCGGUGAAAUGCGUAGAUAUCACUUAGAACGCCAAAGGUGAAGACAGUCUGCUGGGGAUCUGCUGACGC